rnacentral:rRNA from 1 species
AGCAGCCGCGGUAAUUCCAGCUCCAAUAGCGUAUAUUAAAGUUGUUGCAGUUAAAAAGCUCGUAGUUGAAUUUCGGGGUCGGCAUGUUGGUCGUGCCUUACGGGGUAUGAACUGACAUCGUCGAUUUCUACCUUCUGGAGAAUCGCGGUGCCCUUAAUUGGGUGUCGUGUGGAUCCAGGACCUUUACCUUGAAAAAAUUAGAGUGUUUAAAGCAGGCAUUAUUGCUCGAAUACAUUAGCAUGGAAUAAUAAAAUAGGACGGUUUGGUUCUAUUUUGUUGGUUUCUAGGAUCACCGUA